UCCCCCAUGCAGGAGCGCUCGGAGUAGUCCGGGGCCGGCAGGUACUUCUGCAAGAGGUUGUCGAACUCGUCCAGCGCUCCGCACACAUCCCCCAUGCAGGAGCGCACGGAGUAGUCUUGGGCGGGAAGGUACUUCUGCAAGAGGCUGUGGAACUCGUCCAGUGCUCUGCACACAUUCCCUACGCAGGAGCGCACGGAGUAGUCUGGGGCCGGCAAGUACUUCUGCAAGAGGCUGUGGAACUCGUCCAGUGCUCUGCACACAUCCCCUAUGCAGGAGCGCACGGAGUAGUCUGGGGCCGGCAAGUACUUCUGCAAGAGGCUGUGGAACUCGUCCAGUGCUCUGCACACAUCCCCUAUGCAGGAGCGCACGGAGUAGUCUGGGGCCGGCAAGUACUUCUGCAAGAGGCUGUGGAACUCGUCCAGUGCUCUGCACACAUCCCCCUACGCGGGAGCGCACGGAGUAGUCUGGGGCCGG